rnacentral:rRNA from 1 species
AUUGAACGCUGGCGGCAUGCCUUACACAUGCAAGUCGAACGGCAGCACGGGUGCUUGCACCUGGUGGCGAGUGGCGAACGGGGGAGUAAUACAUCGGAACAUGUCCUGUAGUGGGGGAUAGCCCGGCGAAAGCCGGAUUAAUACCGCAUACGAUCUACGGAUGAAAGCGGGGGACCUUCGGGCCUCGCGCUAUAGGGUUGGCCGAUGGCUGAUUAGCUAGUUGGUGGGGUAAAGGCCUACCAAGGCGACGAUCAGUAGCUGGUCUGAGAGGACGACCAGCCACACUGGGACCGAGACACGGCCCAGACUCCUACGGGAGGCAGCAGUGGGGAAUUUUGGACAAUGGGCGAAAGCCUGAUCCAGCAAUGCCGCGUGUGUGAAGAAGGCCUUCGGGUUGUAAAGCACUUUUGUCCGGAAAGAAAUCCUUGGCCCUAAUACGGUCGGGGGAUGACGGUACCGGAAGAAUAAGCACCGGCUAACUACGUG